rnacentral:rRNA from 1 species
AGAGUUUGAUCCUGGCUCAGGACGAACGCUGGCGGCGUGCCUAACACAUGCAAGUCGAGCGAGAGACUUCGGUCUCUAGCGGCGGACGGGUGAGUAACACGUGGGUAACCUGCCUCAUAGAGGGGGAUAGCCUCCCGAAAGGGAGAUUAAUACCGCAUAACCUCUCGGUAUCGCAUGGUAGCAACUUUAAAGGAGUAAUCCGCUAUGAGAUGGACCCGCGGCGCAUUAGCUAGUUGGUGAGGUAACGGCUCACCAAGGCGACGAUGCGUAGCCGACCUGAGAGGGUGAUCGGCCACAUUGGAACUGAGACACGGUCCAGACUCCUACGGGAGGCAGCAGUGGGGAAUAUUGCACAAUGGGGGAAACCCUGAUGCAGCAACGCCGCGUGAGUGAAGAAGGCCUUCGGGUUGUAAAGCUCUGUCUUUUGGGACGAUAAUGACGGUACCAAAGGAGGAAGCCACGGCUAACUACGUGCCAGCAGCCGCGGUAAUACGGAAGGGGCAAGCGUUGUUCGGAAUCAUUGGGCGUAAAGGAUGCGUAGGUGGAUAUUUAAGUGGGAUGUGAAAUACCCGAGCUCAACUUGGGUGCUGCAUUCCAAACUGGAUAUCUAGAGUGCAGGAGAGGUAAGUGGAAUUCCUAGUGUAGCGGUGAAAUGCGUAGAGAUUAGGAAGAACACCAGUGGCGAAGGCGACUUACUGGACUGUAACUGACGCUGAGGCAUGAAAGCGUGGGGAGCAAACAGGAUUAGAUACCCUGGUAGUCCACGCCUGUAAACGAUGGGUACUAGGUGAGGGAGGGUCAACUUUUGUGCCGCGUGAACAAAAAAAAGUACCCCCCCCGGGGGAGGUCCGGUCGCAAGAUUAAAAACUCCAAAGAGAAUUGGCGGGGGCCCCGCACAAAGCAGCGGAGCAUGUGGUUUUAAUUAGAAAGCACGGCGAAGAAACCUUUCCUAGACUUGACAUCUCCUGAAAUUACCCCUUAAUCGGGGAAGCCCCUUCGGGGCAGGAAGACAGGUGGUGCAUGGUUGUCGUCAGCUCGUGUCGUGAGAUGUUGGGUUAAGUCCCGCAACGAGCGCAACCCUUAUCAUUAGUUGCUACCAUUAAGUUGAGCACUCUAGUGAGACUGCCCGGGUUAACCGGGAGGAAGGUGGGGAUGACGUCAAAUGAUCAUGCCCCUUAUGUCUAGGGCUACACACGUGCUACAAUGGUCGGUACAACAAGACGCAAGACCGCGAGGUGGAGCAAAACUGUAAAACCUCUCCCAGUUCGGAUUGUAGGCUGAAACUCGCCUACAUGAAGCCGGAGUUGCUAGUAAUCGCGAAUCAGCAUGUCGCGGUGAAUACGUUCCCGGGCCUUGUACACACCGCCCGUCACACCAUGAGAGUUGGCAAUACCCAAAGUCCGUGAGGCAACCGCAAGGAGCCAGCGGCCUAAGGUAGGGUCAGCGAUUGGGGUGAAGUCGUAACAAGGUAGCCGU